GACGGAGGGGGCAAGCGUUGUUCGGAAUUAUUGGGCGUAAAGGGCUCGUAGGCGGACCGGUAAGUCUGAUGUGAAAUCUCCACUGCUCAACAGGGAGAGGUCAUUGGAUACUGCCAGUCUGGAGUGCGGCAGAGGACCAUGGAAUUCCAGGUGUAGCGGUGGAAUGCGUAGAUAUCUGGAAGAACACCGGGUGGCGAAGGCGGUGGUCUGGGCCGUUACUGACGGCUGAGG
rnacentral:rRNA from 1 species